UGUAGGCCAACUAACAGCAGAGAUUUGCUCUUUUGCAAUUGAUAGAAUUAUUAUUAAGGAAACCUAUUUAAAUGUGAAUUGCUGUAAUAUAUCAUUUUGAUUUAAUUGUGUUGUUCCAUAUAAACAAUAAUAUUGGUGGACAGUAGGAUAGGAUUUCCCACCGUAGAGGUUCCGUCUCCUAGCAACAGUCAAGAUUUCCUCUAUCAUGUUUACGACAACGAUAUUAAUAUAUUCCCUUUUAAUUGCCUAAACUAAAGCAUAUAUACAGUUUAUGUGUUAUUUUGUGACACAAUGGCGUGUAGGUCUAUAUAAAAACAACAGUAGGCUAGUGGUAGUAUUGUAAGUUCAGUGUGACAAAGUGAAAGUGAUUCCUCAAUGUCGCAC